AACGCGAAGAACCUUACCUGGGCUCGAAAUGCAGGAGACCGGGGUAGAAAUAUCCUUUCCCCGCAAGGGGCUGCUGUAUAGGUGCUGCAUGGCUGUCGUCAGCUCGUGUCGUGAGAUGUUGGGUUAAGUCCCGCAACGAGCGCAACCCUCAUCCCUAGUUGCCACCGGGUCAAGCCGAGCACUCUAGUGAAACCGCCCCGGAUAACGGGGAGGAAGGUGGGGAUGACGUCAAGUCCUCAUGGCCUUUAUGUCCAGGGCUACACACGUGCUACAAUGGUCGGUACAAACCGUCGCAAAGCUGCAAAGUGGAGCUAAUCGGAAAAAGCCGGCCUCAGUUCGGAUUGGAGUCUGCAACUCGACUCCAUGAAGCUGGAAUCGCUAGUAAUCGCAGAUCAGAACGCUGCGGUGAAUACGUUCCCGGGCCUUGUACACACCGCUCGCGA
rnacentral:rRNA from 1 species